AUGUCCAUUAAUUUAAUAAUGUUAUGUUGUGACUUUUAAUGGGUCGGGGUGAUAUUCUGCCAGCUCUGCCUUUAGACCACAGAUGAUCUCCCUAAGAAACUGUUGAAUUUAUCUGGACAAUGAGAUGCUGGGCAGUAUGCAAAGUAGAGGCUUGCAAUGAGUCUCAACUGAAUUUGAACUGUGGUUAUGCAACAAGUUGGAGGA